ensembl:lncRNA
CUUGUGAACGUGUAUAACCAACAGGAAGUGAGCAGUCCUCCACCUGUGCUUCCAGCUACGGGCAACUCCACUCCGUUUGCCAGCUGAUGACUUUAUAUUGUUUGGUUUGUGUCCUGCUACUGUUGCUUACCUAUGUCUGGAUAUUCACACAGGCAGCGAUGCCUUCAUUUAUUUCCUAUCAUUGGAACACUCCAUUAAUCUCCAGUUACCUGAAGGACUGCUGACCACGGCCUGCCGUGGUCUCUUCAAGAACUGGAUGUAUUGAUGAGACAUUUGUGGGCAGGAGUUACCAUGAACUCAAAAGCUGGAACUCAGUUACCUUGCCUUGAAGAGCAUUGGAGAUUGUCAGGGAGGUUGUUCAGGAAGAAGGGUGGAUACUGAACAUGUGUCAGUACCAGAAAUAAUACAGGAUUUAUGAGUGGAGAACUGUACCACUGUGUGAGAAGUGCUGGGAAAGGGAAUUCUGACCAACAGCAGCAGCAUCAAAGUUCUGUAAUCAAGAAAGACCCUUAGAACUGUCCUUUUCACUAUCAGUCAGAGCUUGGAUUUUUUAAAUCUUUUGCAAAAGGACCCCUGCAGUCUUUCUUUAAAAAUAUACAUUGGAUGCCACAGGAGACUGAACAUAUGCUUUCAGCUACCUUUGAACAAUUUCUUCAGGAGGGCUUUGAAAUUUAAACUGGACAUUCAUGUGGAGCAAUAUAUAGAUCACCGAGCACAGCUCUACAAAGGUCACCAUCACCAUCUGUGUCAGCAGCUCUGCAAGGGAAAGCAGGCCCCCUCCUUGACCACUGCAGGUCAGAGCCCAUCAUAUUAAUAUAAACCAUCACAGCUUUCAGGUCACAGGGGUACGUACCAGGCUGUGAAGUGUGGUGGCUCAAGAGAGGAUGAUAACCUCUGGGUAGAAUGGUUGGUUAUGGGCAGGAAUCUCUUAAAUCAUCCUAGUACAUCCCUUCCCCUUCCCCUUCCCUCUCCUCCCCCUUCCCCUUCCCCUUCGCCUUCCCCUUUCCCUUCCUUUCUUACUUCCUUCCUCUUUCUUAUUCUUUCUUUCUCUUUCUCUUUUUUCUUUUUCUCUUCUUUUUCUCUUUGCUAGUCUUCUCUCUUCUCACAUUUUCUAACAUGUUCAUGCAUUAUUUUAUUUUUUCAUAGUCUAAAAUAUAUAAGAAUAUAUAUGUAAGAAAUACAAUAUAAGAUGUAUUAUAGCACAACUAACAUAUGUAACAUAUCUGUGUAUUUAUAUAGCUAUAUACACACAAACAUGUAUGUACGUAUGCAUAUAAAAAUCCACUACAGUUCUUCAAGAUUUUUCAUUACCAGAUAGAAAAAAGACUCAGCGGGGGAAGAGCAGUGAGAACUCCAUUCACAGGCAUG